rnacentral:lncRNA from 1 species
UCUGCCGCCAAGCAGGAUGCGCAGCGCCGGGCACCGGCAGCCGCUCCGGCAAAGUGCGUAGCCCCGCAGCGCGGAGGGGUCGGGGCACCAGGUGGUGGAUGUGGACUUUAAAACAGUGUGUCUCAACAUUUCAUCCUCAACUAUCUGUUUUUAAUCUGAUUGCACUACAAAAGAAAAGCUGCUAAUGGGAUAAAUGUUGAGACGUUGCAAGAACUGACUUGAAGUACCAAAAGCCAUUACUAUAAAUCAAGAAGAGCUCGAAGCUAAGUCUGUAUCCGAUUAGUCAGU